UUCCCUCAGAGGAGCCAAUUCACUUUCUUUCUGAGCUACUCACUUUGCAGAGAGGGCAGCUGUGCUCUCUCACCCUGAUCCUGGUACAUCUCAUACCUCUCAGUAAGUGUGGGCAUCUGUGUCCCCAACGCACUGCUCCAACCUGCUCAGAACAAGCACCCCACUUUCUCCCAACUCAUCUCAUUUAUUCAGUUCACUGAGGCGCUCCAGAGCAUCUCCCCUAACAUGUCAGGGGACAUGGGUCCCCUACAUCUCUCAAAGUGUCCUUUAAACGGCAUGGCAGGAACAGACAGGUGAAAGCUCAGAAUCUUCACUCUCUCCGAGCAAGGCACUGCCAGCUUUCUUUCCUCACUUGAAACAACCCUAUUUGUUAUUUUGAGCCAUGACUGGGAUGACACUUAUGACAUAUAGCAAAGCAGGAAUUAUCUUUGGGAGCAGAAAGACGAAGACAUACUGUGAGUCUGAUAAGAUAAAAGCGGCCACAGAUAAAAGCAUUUAUAAAGGAAAUGAUGGCUAUCUGCCAAACAGGAGCAAGGAAACUCACCCACCAAACACAAAGAAAUGAAAAGAAGUCAAGCCAAAUUCUGUAACGGGCUGCAUGCUAGCAUCCUUCCCUGCAAGACAACUCAGCAAUAGGAGAGAACAUGGAAGGGGAUGUUGGGUGAUGGGGUCUGGGGACACUGUGUGACCUUGGACAGCAGCUUCCUGUGGAGAGAAAGGAAGGGAAGUCACUGGUGUACCUCUCAGCGUCAUGGUGAUGUUUAAGCGAGAGGAUGCAGGUCACAACACUGGGCGUGCUGGGAAGCAUCAGAUAUGUAAGGCAUGAGUUCUCAGACAGUCACAUACGGAAGUUGCUUAGGAGAGCUGCUAAAAAUACAGAUUCUGGGCCCAAACUCCAGAGAUGCUGAUUUAGGAGGUUUGGGCUGGGGCCCAGGAAUCUGGAUUUUGGACAAGUGCUACAGAUGAUUCUGAAACAGGAAGCCUCUAACAACCCUAUGAGGUAGAUACUGUUACGAUCUCCAUUUUACAUGUGAGGAAACUGAGGCAAAGCUAGUUUGUGGUAGAGCCAGCUCCCAAGAGAUCUUGGACUCCAGAAAUGAGAAAAGAGGUUGUCCAGAUCUGGGCUGGGACUCCCGUCCCUGCCCCCUCCUCUAAAGCAGCCAACAGAGUGGCAGCCCAUUCCCAGAAAGAUCAGAAAUGCUCUUUCUCUGAAUCUUUUGAGCUUCAAGCAAGCAAAUAUGCCUAAGACAGGUGUAAGCAGACACUCAUGAAUGAUAGAGACAAAGGAAGAGGGAAGGAGGGAACGGCCACAUUAAAAAUUAUAACCUACAUCAAGUUUGUGCUUCUCUGGAUCACUCUGAAUAUUCACUGGGAUAAAAUAUGCUCUAAAAUAUGUCAAUGCCAAGGUGAUUAAAACGCCAUUCUGUACCCAUCAGUGUACAGAGAGGAGAGGGAACAGCAACCAGGAUGUCAAGUUUUCAGAAAACAAUACAAAAUGAAUAAGUAGAGUUACAAAACCCAGAAUCAUCAAAUAUUAGAGUUGCAUGUACCUCUGGGAGUUAUCUUGAUUCUCCCCUUUAUUUGACUGAUGAGAAAACUGAGAUUUGGUGAGGGCAGGUGCUGUGGCUGGGCGUCAGAGGGCAGCCCCAAAGCCGGGGUUCUGACCCCUACUCUGGUUCUCAUUUUGCUCCAUAUGCUGCCCUUGUGAAACUUGAAAGGAACCGAAGUCCUUAAUGUAGCACUCCUUCCAAACUCCUUGAAUGGCUCCAAAGCCAGGGCUGGUGCGGCAGCACCGGAAGGACCGAAGGGAGGUGAGAAGAGGCAGCCAGCCACAGACUCAGUAAAUAAGAGUCUCGGACAUAAUCACUGUGCAGAGAAGUCCCAGCUCUCCAGCUCCCUCAGAGAGUCAGAAACAGAGAGGACAAGUGACUGAAUGGAAGGGACCCUGAAGAAGGCUCCCUAGGAUGGGUCAGGGGGUGUGGGCAUGUCAGCUCGCCUCUCACUGCCUUCCUGCCUUGGGUACCCAGGGACGCUACCAGAAAAUAACUUCUCUGAGGCACAAGCUGCAAUGGCCAGAAGUAGAGGUGGAAUUUCAGGCAGGAUUCAGUUGUGAUUUUUCCUCCAGCUCAAAACCUUCACAGGGGCCCUUGGCCAAGCAUCCCAGAUCCACCAUGGUCUGCCUGUACCUUGCCCACAAAUUUUAUUUUCUAACACUGCCCUGAUGUCAGCACCCAUCCUAUACUUUGGAUUAUUCUGCCCAACCGAUAGAUACCCUGGGAAAAGUGCCAGUGACAGCUCGAGAGGCCAGCCCAGACAUAGUCCUUGGCAGUGGAGGAGGAAGAAUUUCCAGGCUAUAGGGAGCAGUCCUGCGGGGGAAGACAGGCCUGAGCAAGGAAGCAUACACCAGGACUUCCAAAUCCCAUCAGCAGGCUCACCUCUACACAUGACAUCACCAUGAUAGUGACAUCAACAAUGGAGAGGCAUGGCCCAGCCCCCAGCUCUGAGCUGGGUCCUCUAGUGACCAGAGUAGUCAAAGCCAGCUGGAGAGCAAGCAUUGCCCUGAGCUGUGGCAAGAGCAGGGUCUGGCCAUAGAGGACAAGAUGGAAGGACCAGAAUUUCUGGUUUCCUUUCCACAAAGAGAUUGGAACCAAGAUUACUAUCAUAGAAUGAGUAAACCCUGAGGCUUAUCACAAGAAUGAGGGAUGCUGGGAGCAAAAACAGACAUAAUCUCAAUAGUGGAAGGUAAGAGAAAUGUGAGCUUAUCUUCUACUCAAACCGGUAAUGCAGCCGUGACCCUGCCAUUGAAGUUAUAGCCACCCACUGGUUCUGGCUUUCACUUUGCUUAAACCAACUUGCAAUAAACUGGAGAUCAUCAAGGUAUUUACCAGGAAAAUCAUCCACUGGGUAACCUACUAUGCAUCGGGCUUACAAAAUUGUCUUUAUUUCCUGAACAGAACAGGAUGUGUGAAGAUACCAAAAAGAAUGAUCGCCCUGCCAUUUCCAUUUAGGAUUGGUGACCAAGACUGUCAGGUGUCAGCCCACGCAAACUGCUUGGAAUCUGGAGGACCAUGUUAACUACACCCUCCUGAAAGGGGAAAGGUCACAGCCCUGCAGUUUGAAAAACACAGCACUAAAACUUUCCAAGUUAACCUUCCAAGUUGACCUUCCAGAGGCUGAUGUUUAGUACCUGGGCAGGUUAAAGAGAAGGUGAAGCGAAGGGCAUCUGCUCCAAUAUGCACGGCAUUGAGAGUUUAAAGACUCAAGAAGUUGAUUCUAAUAGGACUGAGCAUCUCAAGGGAGCACCACGCGUUCCUUCCAGCCACUGACCUGCUCCACACUCCCCAGGCUGGUUUUCCUUCCUGGCAGGAAUGCACAUUGAUAGGAAAUGUGGGUUCCAAGGAAACAAAGCAGAUUUUGACCUCCACAAAUGCACAGA